rnacentral:tRNA from 1 species
GGGGCUGUAGCUCAAUCGGGAGAGCGCUUCGUUCGCAACGAAGAGGUUGAGGGUUCGAUCCCCUCCCGCUCCA